rnacentral:rRNA from 1 species
CACGUAGGGGGCGAGCGUUGUCCGGAAUCAUUGGGCGUAAAGAGCUCGUAGGCGGCUCGGUAAGUCGGGUGUGAAACCCCCAGGCUCAACCUGGGGACGCCACCCGAUACUGCUGUGGCUAGAGUCCAGUAGGGGAGUGUGGAAUUCCCGGUGUAGCGGUGAAAUGCGCAGAUAUCGGGAGGAACAUCUGUGGCGAAGGCGACACCCUGGACCAGCACUGACACUGAGGCACGAAAGCGUGGGGAGCAAACAGG